rnacentral:rRNA from 1 species
AGUGAACGUUGGCGGCGUGGAUUAGGCAUGCAAGUCGAGCGAGAACCGUAGCAAUACGGGGACAGCGGCGAAAGGGACAGUAAUGUGUAGGUACCUACCUCCGGGCGCGGGAUAGCUGCGGGAAACUGCGGGUAAUACCGAAUAGAGUCUCCGGACCAAAGGUGUGAUUCCACCUGGAGAGGGGCCUGCAUUCUAUUAGCUUGUUGGCGGGGUAACGGCCCACCAAGGCGACGAUGGGUAGCGGGUGUGAGAGCACGACCCGCGUCAUUGGGACUGAGACACUGCCCAGACACCUACGGGUGGCUGCAGUCGUGAAUCUUCGGCAAUGGGCACAAGCCUGACCGAGCGACGCCGCGUGCGGGAUGAAGGCCUUCGGGUUGUAAACCGCUGUCGUAGAGGAGGAAAUGCAGGGGGGUUCUCCCCUCUGUUUGACCUAUUCUAGGAGGAAGUACGGGCUAAGUUCGUGCCAGCAGCCGCCGUAA